rnacentral:rRNA from 1 species
GAUGAACGCUGGCGGCGUGCUUAACACAUGCAAGUCGAACGAAGCACCUUGAUUUGCUUCUUCGGAUGAAGAUCUUGGUGACUGAGUGGCGGACGGGUGAGUAACGCGUGGGUAACCUGCCUCAUACAGGGGGAUAACAGUUAGAAAUGACUGCUAAUACCGCAUAAGACCACAGCACCGCAUGGUGCAGGGGUAAAAACUCCGGUGGUAUGAGAUGGACCCGCGUCUGAUUAGGUAGUUGGUGGGGUAACGGCCUACCAAGCCGACGAUCAGUAGCCGACCUGAGAGGGUGACCGGCCACAUUGGGACUGAGACACGGCCCAAACUCCUACGGGAGGCAGCAGUGGGGAAUAUUGCACAAUGGGGGAAACCCUGAUGCAGCGACGCCGCGUGAGCGAUGAAGUAUUGCGGUAUGUAAAGCUCUAUCAGCAGGGAAGAAAAUGACGGGACCUGACUAAGAAGCACCGGCUAAAUACG